AGGGGCGUGACGCCAGAGGGGCUGGGCUCCAGGCAGCGCGGGGGCGGUGCGCGUGCGGCUAAUUGACAUUUGGCUGUUUCCACUUUCUGACCAUUAUGCAUAAUGCUGCUGCGAACAUCUGUUAAGCUCUAGGCUCAGCGUGGGACUUGAACUCAUGACCUGGA